rnacentral:rRNA from 1 species
AUGGCCCUCCUCGCCACGACCCCACUCCUCGCGCCCCUCGCGCUCUCCCCGGCCCCGAUCUCCGCCUCCCAGAGCUCCCUCCUCUUCCUGCGCGCCCCCGCCCCCGCCCUCCUCUCGCUCCGCUCCGCCUCCCCCGGCGCACGCCUCCUCGCGGCGGUCGCGUCCAAGGAGCCCGAGCUCGGCGGCGGCGGAUCCGAAGGCGGUGACGGUGCGGGAUCUGGGAGGGGAGGCGGCGGGGGAAGUGACCCGCAGGGAGGCGGGGACGAGGGGGAGGAGGGGAAGAUGGGGGACGGGCUCUCCAUGUCGCAGAAGCUCACCCUCGCCUACGCCGCGCUCGUCGGAGCUGGUGGAGUGAUGGGGUACAUGAAGAGUGGAAGCCAGAAGUCAUUGGCUGCAGGAGGCAUAUCAGCCCUGGUGCUGUUCUUCGUUCACACUCAACUCCCAGUGAGACCAGUCUUUGCGUCGGCGAUCGGGUUAGGUAUAUCAGCUGCACUGCUGUCAGUCAUGGGAUCUCGCUUCAAGAAGUCCGGAAAGAUAUUCCCAGCUGGCGUUGUGUCCCUUCUUUCCUUGGUCAUGGUUGGCGGCUACGCCCAUGGGAUUAUGCGUAGCUCGCAUGCGUGA